CCUUGGAGUGGGAUAACAGCUGGAAACAGCUGCUAAUACCGCAUGAUGCAGUUGAGUCGCAUGGCUCUGACUGCCAAAGAUUAUCGCUCUGAGAUGGACUCGCGUCUGAUUAGCUAGUUGGUGGGGCAACGGCCCACCAAGGCGACGAUCAGUAGCCGGACUGAGAGGUUGGCCGGCCACAUUGGGACUGAGACACGGCCCAGACUCCUACGGAAGGCAGCAG
rnacentral:rRNA from 1 species